AGGUCCUGCCUCUGCUUCCCAGGCUCCCACGACUAGGAGCAAAGGGCACCCGGGGCUCCUCUGUCCUUGAGUUCGACUCACGCCCCAGAUCUGAGUGUGCGUCUUCGGGGAGUUGGUUCCACUGAGUUCCCUCUCGCUCCCAAGCCAAGCUACUCAAGAAGGUCUUUGCCAGCUUGAGCUCUACUUUGCGUGGGAGAAGCGAAAGGCACGAAUUCCACGGUCUCUCUCCAUGGCCCGAAGCUCUCUGCAGAGCCAUAGAACAGGGCGGGAGUCGCCGGCCCGGCACCCGCGCUGCUCGCUGCUCAGUGCUCGCUCGCCGCCGCCGGUGUACUUGGAAGCCGAGUUCUGGUUCCGGGCCAGGGCUUUUGCUCGCGACCAACGGCCUUCGAGCCCAGCUCCAGGCAGGGACAAAGAAAAGCACUGCCUGGGGCCACCAGGGGCAGGGCCCACCGGUGGCGCUGUCCGCACCCUGCCACCCACAAGCGCCCCGGACCGCGAGCGCGGCGUCCCCAACACAAACACUGCCCCCGUAGCCCGCCCGAAGGCCCGGUCUCUCUCCCCCUGUUCCUCUUUGUUCACAUUGUCUUGGACUCUCAGGUCAAGAUGGUGAAAGUUGCUAAGACUUGAGCGCAGCUCCUGACGGCGUGCCAGAGAGAUGCAAAGUCCAAAGACCGGAGCCCUGCAGUAGGGAAGCAAAUAAAAGGUUUUUUUCUGUGGGAAAAGUCAACCUAAGGCGGUGAAGCCCUAGGGCAGGUCCUACUGGGACCAGUGGGUUUUACCCCAAAGACGAAGGUAGCAAUGAAUUUGCAGAUUUCGCGGUUGCUGGAGAUGCCCGUCCCUGGAGCGACCUUCCCCUGCCCCCGGGGUAGAAGGCGCUCCCGCAGGGCCCCCGAAGGAGAAGAGAGGAGCCAGGUGACCCUUCCUUCUGUCCACUCCCACACCUCUUUGCCGCAGUCCGGGGUCACCCGGAGUCCCAGCACUGGCUUCGUGGUCUGGCUUGCAAGUUUCCACUGCAGAAGAACCCUGCCGUGUGGUAUUUACAGCAGUCUCAUCCUCGGUGUUCGAGAGCUGACUGUAACAUUAACUGCUCGGUGGCGGAUACAAGAAGCUGGGAGGAAGUGACACUUCUCAUAAACUAUUAGAGUAGCUUGCAUUAAUCACCCCAGGUCGCCAACAGCCUUGUGUUAAGCGGGGACUCUGCUAAACCCCUUGGUACAAAGUGCCAGGUUGAUUUAAAAAAAAAAAAAAAUGGUAGGAGAGAUCGAGAGAAUGAAAAACAAGAAGGUGCUGUGUAAAGGGCUGGAGAACAGGGAGCAGACAUUUGCAGAGGACUGAACUGGGUCGUUUUCCACCAGCUGUCUCCAACCACGUUCUUUCUGUCUGAAUUUAGCCUGUUCUCCUGCGAGCAAAGACCAUUUCCGCCUCUGGGUCCUGAAGCAUCCUGUCCCUUUAAAAGUGAUGCAGCAGUGAGAAAGAGUAAAGUAGCUGACCCAGCACUUUUGCAGUGUGCUCUUGCCUUCUCGUUCCCACUGCAGUCAUUUAGUUCGCUUUUCAUCUGCAUCCCUACCUCCUGCCUCCGGUGGCGGCAAGCCCCUUCUUGGCCCCCUGCCCCUUUGCUUGCCCAUCGGCUUACAUGUGGUCCUUUCCCUGCCUAGUGAUAGAAAGGAUGACCUUGCUAUCUCCCUGACCUUAUUACAUUUUUCCCAGGCACUCACCCCACGCCCGCUCGUGGCUAACCUCUUCAAGGUUGCUUCAGAGUUGCACCAUAACUGCAUUCAGGUUCUAGAAUGUUUCACCAGCACUCUUCAGUCCUUACAAUAAAAUGGUGCUGUGGCUUUCUAGGUACACCUGUCUGGGUGACAGACUUACGAAUAAAAGAAAAGCAACAUAAAGCAGGCACCACUUAUAUGCCUCCUAUAGCCCUCCAUGCAUUUCUGCACAUGGGGCGUUCAGUCAGUUCUAAACCCCAAUCUCUCUGAUGGUCUCUCUCCUCCAAGGGCCUUAAUCCCUCCCCUUUGUCCUUUCUUUCCCCCAACCCCUGACCACUGGAUUCUAUCAGGUCUGACACUUGCCUUUCCUGCUAUCACUGUAGUGCCUGGGCCCAGACUGGAGUAAGUGAUGAGAAGUCAAGGGAACUAUGACAAUGAAUGAGCACCCCAAGAGUCCACAGAUCUGUAACACGGGAUCCAGCAUACCUCCUCUCACUGCUGCUGUGCACCCUGGCUUAAAUGCAUGCGUUCAUCACUCCCAUCCGCAGAGGAAAAAGGAUGAGCAGACUAAAAAUCAAGAAUUCAUCUUAAGGCCCCAGAAAACUGAGGUCCUGAGACAGACUGCUGGGGAGCCGGGCAGACAGACAUAGAGUUAAUACUUCCAAAGCAGAAGAGAGGGGAAGCAACCUACACCUGGAGCCAAGUAUUGCAGCUUGACCCUACAGGAUGUAAAUGGCCUGUCACUAGCUGACUUCACGGCGACACCGUGUGUUUCGGUGUGUUGACUACACAGUGAAAAGGCAACGAGACGUUCCUGGUGCUCCUAAGUCUACCCAAAUGUGAAGGAGAGUGUACACUUUGAGUCCUUUCCCCUUAAAAGCUGUAAGAUCCAAGAGGCCAUGCCCAUUAUUAAUCAUUAAAUAUUUCCCUGACAGUG